GAUGAACGCUGGCGGCGUGCUUAACACAUGCAAGUCGAACGGAAAGGCCAGUGCUUUCACUGGUACUCGAGUGGCGAACGGGUGAGUAACACGUGGGUGAUCUGCCCUGUACUUCGGGAUAAGCUCGGGAAACUGGGUCUAAUACCGGAUAGGACAUCUUUUUGGAUAUUGUUGUGGGAAGCUUUUGGGGUAUGGGGUGAGCUCUCGGCGUAUCAGCUUGUGGGUGGGGUAUUGGCGUAUAACGGCGUUGUGGCGUAGCCGGCCUGAGAGAGUGUACGGCGACAUAGGGAGUGUGAGACAGCGCAGAGUCCUACGGGGGGCAGCAGUGGGGAAUAUUGCGCAAUGGGCGCGAGCCUGAUGCAGCGACGCGGCGUGGGGGGUGAAGGCCUUCGGGUUGUAUACUCCUUUCGCUCGGGACGAAGCUCUUUUGUGACGGUACCUGGUGAAGAAGCACCGGCUAACUACGUG
rnacentral:rRNA from 1 species